UGCUGCUGCUAGUCUUGUUGUUCUGAGGUUGUCUUUAACCAGCAACAGACAUGGCAACUGUAAUAAUAAAGAGAUUAGCACCAUCUCCUUUUGCUUUGAUUACUGUUUUAGUCACUCUUGCUGCUUUCUUCUUCAGCUCUAGAUUUCCCUUCAAACCCAUUAACACUUCUCCUCAACAACAGGAACUGCACUUGGAGCAUACCUUAGACAGUGAGAGAUCAACCGCGGAUGGAAGACUACUCCAGCCUAAAAGGAACAUAAAGUCUUAGGGGGGAAUCCUCACCUUCCCUAAUAAUUUUCCCUUUCCCUGAAAAUGAAUUGCCUCUGCAAGUACAUCUAUCUCUUUUUCCCCAUUUUGUGCAGGAGAUGGACUCACAGUCUCACAGACUCCUUGCGUGGCUUGUCCAGUACUGAGAUAAUCCCUGUGCCCUUUCCUUUGGGGUGAGGCAUGUUUUGUGUACACACACUGCGAGUCUUAGCGGUGUAGCCCACCUUUUUCGCUUUCAACUCUCUUAACAUGAUAAUUUGUCAAAAAGAAAAUCAAUUUAAACAUCCUAUUUCAUUUAUAUGUGGUGAAGAGUAUUGUUGAAUGGCAGGAGUUCUACUUCAGAAGCUACACGUGAGUUACACAUUGUCCAUAUUACGAUGUCCUUUUAGCUUAGAAUGAAAGAGCAAAAAGAAAAGAAAAGGAUACCGAGUCGAAGCAAAGGCUGCAAGAGGCACCCGGCUUAUGGAGAAACAGAAAAAAGAGGAAGCCAAACAGCAUAGUUGCAAUUCGAGGUGGAGUCAGGGAAGGGGUGGAGAGAGGUCUGGUGCAACGAUGGCUUCCCAAGGUUGGUGCGGAGACCACGAGAAAUUGCUUUGACUGGGAAGAUGAGCAAGCAAUGUGCUUGCUAUAAGGAAGAUCAAGUAAGCCAUCCACGGCUAGAAGUGUAUAAAGGACGUGAUCAUCUUGCCGAGAAAUGUCGUGUUUGAUCUAGCGACACGAUAAGUGUAAUCAAAGUAUCCUGAUAUGAACAAUGCUUACAAGUUCACUUCAUAGGCAGUUUUAAGUCGAUAGAAAGAAAUAUUGUUUACCCUUUCUUCGGUGCAGCUAUUGAUGGUUUUGAUUACUUGCCAA